CCUCGGUUCUUCCACCAGUACCUCACUUUCCUCCCCUCUCCCUCGGCACGGCAAUGGAGUCGUCGUCCUCCGCCACCAAGCGUAGGCCGACGCCGGCACCCCUUCCGCUUAUCCCCUGCCCUUUUUGCGGCGCACAAGCCCUCACCUUCGUCUGUGGCCCUCAUGGAUCUAAGCCAUCCCCAGUCCACCGCCGCCGCUCUUCUGGACUAGGCCAUUGUUGCUGAUUCUUUCAGCGGCUGAGCUAUCCAUCAGAGAACCAUGUCCGACUACACUAGCCGUGACGAUAUUAGCGAUAGGCAGAUCACCCCACCAGAUCCAGCACGGCUGCUGGCACAGCUAGUCGCUCAGAUGGUCUGCCCCCAAAUACAACAUCCAGAAGCUCUGUCAGGCAUGUUGUGACUGUAAUGAACGGGUUUAGUGAGUACAAAUGCUGUUAGUGAAAGAAAUAGGUUUUGGUGGGAUGCUUGAACUCCCAAUGAUCCAGAAAUUAAAUCUCAGGCUGAGCUCCUGGUGCAUGAGUAAGGUAGAUGUUCGUCCCUGAGCAGUGGUCAUCAAUAACAAAAAAAAUACUACAUUUUCAGUGCUGCAGAUGUCGCCAUGAUGUUCGGCAUACGGUCUGGCAACAGAGAUGUGCUCGGUCCGGAUGGUAACAUCAAUGAGGCGGCAAACGCGGCGGUCCUUUCUAUGUGAACAGAAUGCACAAGCAACCCGCCAUGUCACCACUGCGCGCCAUAACAUACACACCGACAUGAUCAACUUCACAGACAAGCUGAUGGCAACACUUUGCAUCCAAGUGCACAUGCUGUGUGGCGAGGGCUUACUCUGACUGUCCCCCUGAAAAUGAUAGAUAACAAUGCAACAUCUACCGAACCUCACCCAGCUAAUCCACCCAGUUCUACUCUACAAGCCAUUGUACCGAACCCCAGUUUCUAGCAAAAUCCAUGGCGUGAGGCUUGAAAUUGUCUGAUUGUGAAGGAGAGCGCUCUUCUAAUAAACAUAAACCGGCUAAAUGGAUGAGGCAAUCCGGCUCCACUUCCCGCCCUCAGGAAACCAAGGCCUCCAAAAGCCCUAGCAAGGAAUCUGUAAGUGAUGCUCGGACAACUGAAUCAAUUUGAUCUACUGUCCAGCACUAUGCAUGGUGCAUAUCAGUUUCAGUUAGGGAUAUGUACGCCGACUGCCAGAAGGGUGAUCCUUCGACAGUAAUUUUUGUUGUCAACCGCAUCAACAUACCGAAGAGGAAGUAUGUAUCAUCAAGGAGUUAUGCCACCAACCCAUGGUUCGCAGGCCGGCCAGUCGUUCCAACAUCAACUACUACUGUUGAACUUCUUGAAUCCCACUUCCAAUCGCUGUCUGCACACCACCUUGCCAGAACUGGAUAGUACACAAUGCUCCACAGUUCGUACGAGUUAGCGGGAAGGACAUCAUGGAUCAGCUAGUCGGCAAUGACAUGCUCGAUCAUGAACUAGGGUGUAACAUUUUGUGGCGGCAGAACCAGGUCGAUCUGGAGUCAAACCACGCUUUGCCAUAUCUGAAUCACCGUCACAUACUAGAGUUUGAUUUCUCGAUGCUCGCUCUAUAAGGCACAAGCAUUUCUGAUUUUCUAGAGAUUCGGAAUCAAUUCAUUGGGGCAAACGGUCCAGCCUGCAAUUGAGGCAUGCCGGCUGUUCUACAUCCCAGCAUGACGGAUGGGCCCUGUACAUUUGGGACAAUGGUAGGGAAAACGCGACGGAUGGGCCCUUGUACAAAAGGAACAUGCUUACAAGGGUUAUACAAGUAUAUGACCCUCAUCUGGGCCAAAUGGAUGCAACCAGGAUGAGCAGGCUAGACACGAGCUUAUCACGUCUCGCCUCCACGAUGCAUUGUUCGGCUGCCUAAACAACUUACAUGCUGGGUGGCCAACACCCAAGGAUAACUGGUCCACUGUUUUCCCCCGUAUCAUGGAUACCUAAAUCACCAGAGGAAACAGGUAUUUGUGUUAUGCACAUCACCAGGCACCAUGAUGUUGAGAAGCUACGAAUGCCUAUCACCAAGAUUAACCUGGCGAAAACUAAGAAAUCCAUUCUGCAAGACGUGAUGAAGCUUCAGGCCGACAGUUCUUUGCCAGCCGAUGCAAUAUGGUCAGUUCAUGCUCCUAGCGAUGGUUUUGAAGACACCCUCUGAACGCAAGCCAUUUUACGUGUCAGCCACAACACGCUUCAUGUCUUUCUCCAUAUGAGAUGACUUUUGCAACCCACCCAGCUAUGUUGUACCUUCAAACAGAAUACUUAUUAUCGUACAAGUCCCAGUACCAGGGCAACCAAGCAGACAACAUCUCUGUAGUGAAUAUGUUUUUUGGUCGCUAUCAUCCUUCA